rnacentral:misc_RNA from 1 species
GUGAAUCAUCGAAUCUUUGAACGCAUAUUGCACUCUUUGGUAUUCCGGAGAGUAUGCCUGUUUGAGGGUCAUUUGAUAUAAUAUCUAUUCCAAGAUUUCUCGGAAUUUAAAAUGGGUUGUCCAUUUUUUGUGGUCGCCUAAAAUCCAAGACAAGCUCAUUUUCGUUGGUUUCGUUAUACUUUCAGUUACCUCGUGACUUAACCAGGAAUCAUCGGGUGUGUUAUGAAUUUUGCACGAGUUAAAAAAUUGCAUAGGUUU